GACGAACCGAGCGAACGUUGUUCGGAAUCACUGGGCUUAAAGGGUGCGUAGGCGGGCUGCCAAGUUUGGGGUGAAAUCCUCCGGCUCAACCGGGGAAGUGCCUCGAAUACUGGCGGUCUGGAGGGAGGUAGGGGCGUGCGGAACUAACGGUGGAGCGGUGAAAUGCGUUGAUAUCGUUAGGAACUCCGGUGGCGAAGGCGGCAUCCUGGACCAACACUGACGCUGAGUGAGCGAAAGCCAGGGGAGCAAACGGG
rnacentral:rRNA from 1 species